UUGAUAUUAAUCCCAUGAUUCUCAGAACAAGAAAAAUAGCAAAAUCAUCAGUUUAUUUCUUCUAACCUUUUGUAUUGCGGAGUGUAACGUUAACGUUAGUAAACAUUGCACUUGCAUUGCGUGAACCUUGGACUUUUGGAAAAUCGGAGCGAUUUUCUGGCACUAACUUAAUACCGGUGCACUGAUGUUGAUGGAGGGGUGAACGCGCUACGAUGCUGUUAUGUAAGUUAGCCUUACCUCUACAACUUACUGUGAGGGUAAGUUUUACAUUUGUAACCAGACUAACUAACGUUAAUUAGCUGUGGACACAACUUUGCCUAAUUUGAUACUGUAGGUCUCCAUGGCUUCCACUAGAUGUUAUUAGAGGAACACGUUUUACCUUUAAAAGGUCGGUUGACCCAAAUUGCAGCAUGACAAAUAAUUUAAUCCUUUAACUCUAACAGUGAUAUGAAGCUAUUUAAUUGUUUAGAAUUUGUUUAAUUUGCUCAUGUUUGAAGAUAUCCUUCUCUCUUCGUUUGAGGGCGGAAUAGUUCAUGUGAGCACUGAGCAGUCUUUUGGAACUACUUUCUACAGAAGAAAUAGUUCCUAUGAAAACAGCGUACAAUGAGCUCUGUGGAUGAAGACGAGCCAAAGGGACAUGAUUUCUGAAAAGAGAAAGAUUCCAGUGCUGAGCACCAGAAACUAAAUGACAUUUACCUCCACGGUGGGUGGGGUCAGAAACCUAAACCCAAUCACUGCAUGGACAAGAAAGCUUUUUUUCCGGAAGCCUUCGCAACACCCGAGGCACACCGUCCUCCAUCUGGCCCUUCUCCUGCAGCUCAAACAGGGACACCCCAAACAACUUGGCGUGCUUGGCCGUCACUGUCCUGGGUCGCAGUAUGGGUAUCUGGACCAUCUUCUUCAUGUCUUCUUUAACCUGCACCGCUGUCUUGUUAUGCUGCUGGGAGAAGAGCAGACAGCAGCAGUCAGCCACUGACACUAUGGACACAGAGAGCAGCACUGGAGAGUCAGGCUAGACACCACUGACACCUGUCCUGGAGCAGGGAGGGCUCACUCUGCUCCAUAGAUUAAAAGUCAGUACGAGGAGCAAGAGAGUUAGGACUCACACACCAGAAGCAGGUUUCGAUCACUGGGUGAGGAGGAACAGACUUCCUGCACGUCAGAGCAACACAGAUUCAGA